rnacentral:rRNA from 1 species
GACAGAGGAGGCGAGCGUUAUCCGGAGUUAUUGGGCGUAAAGGGUACGUAGGCGGCUGGUCAAGUGUGGAGUUAAAGACCACAGCUUAACUGUGGGGGGGCCUUGGAAACUGACCGGCUGGAGUGGGGCAGGGGUUGCGGGAAUUCCCGGUGUAGCGGUGAAAUGCGUAGAUAUCGGGAAGAACGCCUGAGGCGAAAGCGCGCAACUGGGCCCUAACUGACGCUGAGGUACGAAAGCUAGGGGAGCGAAUGGG